AGCAGCAUGGCGCAGUUGGAAGCGCGCGGGGCCCAUACAAGAGUUGCAUCUGUAACCCCGAGGUCACUUGAUCGAAACAAGUUGCUGCUA